UGAGCAACCUGCCCUUAGCUCUGGGAUAAACCCCGGGAAACCGGGGCUAAUACCGGAUAUGAGUCCGAGCGGCAUCACGCGGACUGGAAAGUUUUUCGGCUAAGGAUGGGCUCGCGGCCUAUCAGCUAGUUGGUGUGGGUAACGGCCCACCAAGGCGACGACGGGUAGCCGGCCUGAGAGGGUGACCGGCCACACUGGGACUGAGACACGGCCCAGACUCCUACGGGAGGCA
rnacentral:rRNA from 1 species